ACGAACGCUGGCGGCGUGCUUAACACAUGCAAGUCGAACGGAAAGGCCAUGCUUUUGUGGGGUGCUCGAGUGGCGAACGGGUGAGUAACACGUGAGUAACCUGCCCUUGACUUUGGGAUAACUUCAGGAAACUGGGGCUAAUACCGGAUAGGAGCUCCUGCUGCAUGGUGGGGGUUGGAAAGUUUCGGCGGUUGGGGAUGGACUCGCGGCUUAUCAGCUUGUUGGUGGGGUAGUGGCUUACCAAGGCUUUGACGGGUAGCCGGCCUGAGAGGGUGACCGGCCACAUUGGGACUGAGAUACGGCCCAGACUCCUACGGGAGGCAGCAGUGGGGAAUAUUGCACAAUGGGCGGAAGCCUGAUGCAGCAACGCCGCGUGCGGGAUGACGGCCUUCGGGUUGUAAACCGCUUUCGCCUGUGACGAAGCGUGAGUGACGGUAAUGGGUAAAGAAGCACCGGCUAACUACGUG
rnacentral:rRNA from 1 species